GGAGGGUGCAAACGUUGCUCGGAAUUAUUGGGCGUAAAGCGCAUGUAGGCGGUUCGUCAAGUCGGAUGUGAAAGCCCCGGGCUCAACCUGGGAAGUGCAUUCGAAACUGGCGGACUUGAGUACGGGAGAGGGUCGCGGAAUUCCCGGUGUAGAGGUGAAAUUCGUAGAUAUCGGGAGGAACACCAGAGGCGAAGGCGGCGACCUGGACCGAUACUGACGCUGAGAUGCGAAAGCGUGGGGAGCAAACAGGAUUAGAUACCCUGGUAGUCCACGCCGUAAACGAUGAGUGCUAGAUGUCGCGGGUAUUGACCCCCUGCGGUGUCACAGCUAACGCGCUAAGCACUCCGCCUGGGGAGUACGGCCGCAAGGCUA
rnacentral:rRNA from 1 species